rfam:Cyberlindnera fabianii strain 65 BON22_Sc04, whole genome shotgun sequence.
GGCCGCGUGGUCUAGUGGUAUGAUACUCGCUUUGGGCGAAGAUUGAGUAAACUCGAUCUAAUAAGCACAGACAUGUGAGUGGUCCAGGGUUCAAUUCCCUGCUCGGCCC